AAAAAAAAGGAAAACGUUCUCACUUCCAGUACAACUGAAAAUCCUUAAAUGCUACCACGUUCUUGUUCUGAUCUUCGAAGUUCUAACACCGUACGAAGCCGUAGCCUUCUAUUUUUCUUCCUGUUUUUUGGGGUACAUGGGAGGGGCUGGAAGCUCAUCAGCUAUUUACCAGUGUAGGGAUUGCAACAUCGGAGGGGGUCUGAAAAUUGGCAUGUUUUGGAGCUUAAAGUUCGUCGGUAAAUCGGUCAUGCUAAACAACGAUUUGUGUCAAUAUCGAUGGUACAGAUGAGUUAAAGAAAGAGUGUAGAGGGGACAGAUGAAGGGUGUUGAGUGGUGCUGUGAUGAUUUUAGGUCUUGGAAGUCGACUGCUCACCCGUUUCAGUGCAAGUUCUUCAAACGACAUCAUCAAAGCUGCAGAUCACACACUGGGAUGUUAGCCGGUGCUCUUGUAGUGAGGGUAGAGGUCUCAGCCAGACCUUUGGCGAUGGCAUUUAUAGCAAUGUGACCUGCAAAUUGCUCUUUUAGUGCCAACGCUGUAAGCCAUGUCACAAACAUGUAUGCUCUUGAUCUUUUUGCUAUUACCACUCUCGACUCUUGAGCGAAUUGAAUGUCAGGUUUCUCGAGGGUUUAGACGUUCUGUAUUAAAUAUCUGCUGUUUAAAUGGAUGGAGGGUGUUUUAGAC